ensembl:rRNA 5S_rRNA 5S ribosomal RNA
GCUUACGGCCAUACCACCCUGAGAACGCCCGAUCUCGUCCGAUCUCGGAAGCUAAGCAGGGUCGGGCCUGGUUAGUACUGGAUGGGAGACCGCCUGGGAAUACCAGGUGCUGUAAGCU